AAGACCUUACUCUUAGGGAUCAUUUCUAUAGUAAGUGUCGCCAGGACGUCAGGUAAAACUGACGAGACCCUAUAGU